AGGGUUUUAGUUAAAAUAUAACAUUUGAUUUGCAUUCAAAAAUUAUUGAAAAAUUCAAUUUACCUUG
rnacentral:tRNA from 1 species